GUUGUUUUCAUCAUUUAAUAAUGAAAAGUCUGAGUUGAAAAAGGUUUAGUUCAUUUUUUCAGAUGUAAUUAAAAUGAUUGUUAGAACUUGGUAUAUUUCCACUCUGUAGAUAAAUUAUAGAGUCACUCAAACUAGAUCUAAGGCCAGGAUUUAUAUAGUUGCAUUUUGUCAUCUAAUCAAAUGAAAAUCAAUAAUUUCAAAAAAUGUAAGGAAGAUUUACCUGAAAAAAGUAAUAAAGAUACAAUUUCAGGAGGCUUAUCACAAGCAUUUGGUUUUGAGAAGUGUACUGAGUUAGAAGAACAAUAUAAUCAAGCAUUAAAUUUCAGCAAUGAAGAUAUUUUAAUACCAGAUGAAACAUUU